rnacentral:rRNA from 1 species
GAUGAACGCUGGCGGCGUGCCUAAUACAUGCAAGUCGAGCGAACGGACGAGAAGCUUGCUUCUCUGAUGUUAGCGGCGGACGGGUGAGUAACACGUGGAUAACCUACCUAUAAGACUGGGAUAACUUCGGGAAACCGGAGCUAAUACCGGAUAAUAUUUUGAACCGCAUGGUUCAAAAGUGAAAGACGGUCUUGCUGUCACUUAUAGAUGGAUCCGCGCUGCAUUAGCUAGUUGGUAAGGUAACGGCUUACCAAGGCAACGAUGCAUAGCCGACCUGAGAGGGGGAUCGCCCACACUGGAACUGAGACACGGUCCAGACUCCUACGGGAGGCAGCAGUAGGGAAUCUUCCGCAAUGGGCGAAAGCCUGACGGAGCAACGCCGCGUGAGUGAUGAAGGUCUUCGGAUCGUAAAACUCUGUUAUUAGGGAAGAACAUAUGUGUAAGUAACUGUGCACAUCUUGACGGUACCUAAUCAGAAAGCCACGGCUAACUACGUG